rnacentral:rRNA from 15 species
UACGGCCAUACCACCCUGAACGCGCCCGAUCUCGUCCGAUCUCGGAAGCUAAGCAGGGUCGGGCCUGGUUAGUACUUGGAUGGGAGACCGCCUGGGAAUACCAGGCCCGACC